GGCAGGAUCCAGAGUCAUAUUUGUGUCUAAAGUGUAGGAUAUAAUGAUGCCUUGAACCUAAUUGUCCUGCUUGACUACAUGCAUUUAUAUCCACACAUUUAAUGGAUAUAAUAGCUUAUUUACCAGUUUUUAAUGAGCUCAUUUCUACUCAGCUCCAGUCCUUGCAAGGGUGAUGUAUGGGGACAACAGAAUCAGUAUUUCUUCUACUGAACAAACACAGGUAGUGUAGAAAGGUGCUGAGCUUCUGUAGGUAGAAGUACAUUGAAGAUCCUCAUGAUCCAGAAGCAUGAAGAUAAGCUUGAAAGGCACAUUUAAAAGGCUGAUUGUCAAGUUAAGCUCUCAAAACAUCUCUCUCAUUUUUUUUUUGUAUCUGAGGAGUACCAUUUCUUCCAGGAAUGUCUCUGUUGCUUCAUUACUUCUACGUUUGCAUUUCUGGAUUACUCUGUGGAGAAACCAGGCCAUGGUGUGCUUCUUCAUUAAUGAGAUUCACAAGCAGGCUGCAUGCCAUGUCUGUGUUGUUAAGAAGAGAAAUGGGAAGUAUUCACAGAUUAACUGCAGGGAGGUCAAUAAACAGACAUCGUACCAGGAAACAAGUGGAGAACGUGAUAGUCACACCUGCUGCAUUGGAUCUGUCACACAGGCUGACUGCAUGAAGAAAUGA
rnacentral:lncRNA from 1 species